rnacentral:rRNA from 1 species
UGGGGAAUAUUGCACAAUGGGCGCAAGCCUGAUGCAGCCAUGCCGCGUGUGUGAAGAAGGCCUUCGGGUUGUAAAGCACUUUCAGCGAGGAGGAAGGUGGUGAGCUUAAUACGCUUAUCAAUUGACGUUACUCGCAGAAGAAGCACCGGCUAACUCCGUGCCAGCAGCCGCGGUAAUACGGAGGGUGCAAGCGUUAAUCGGAAUUACUGGGCGUAAAGCGCACGCAGGCGGUAUGUUAAGUCAGAUGUGAAAUCCCCGGGCUCAACCUGGGAACUGCAUUUGAAACUGGCAAGCUAGAGUCUCGUAGAGGGGGGUAGAAUUCCAGGUGUAGCGGUGAAAUGCGUAGAGAUCUGGAGGAAUACCGGUGGCGAAGGCGGCCCCCUGGACGAAGACUGACGCUCAGGUGCGAAAGCGUGGGGAGCAAACA